rnacentral:tRNA from 1 species
GGGGGUGUAGUGCAGCUCAGUGGUUGAACACUCGUCUAGCAUGUGUGAGGACUUGGGUUCGAUCCCCAGCACCCCCA